CACAAAGUGAGGAGGAAGAUAUUGUAGACGGUAUCAAUAACUUGGAGGAGAAGCUGCUUGAGCAGGAUUGGCUUACAACAAAUACAUGCAAAAUUUGGAA